rnacentral:misc_RNA from 1 species
CGUCGCGGUAAUCGCCCCUCGCCACCUUUGGUGCCGAUUAUUUUAUUAUUACGAAUUUCUCAUUCUGCAGAUAGCAACGCUGGUUGUUUGCAUUCAGCGUGUGAGGUUGCUGACAGGUGACAAGGCUUUGAGCUGUUACGGGUUCAUUUCAUUAUAACGAGCGGCUGGUGUGGUGUUAGCGCUUCUUGAUAACAUUCCUGCGUUUUCUUGGUGUUUUUUUUCGGAGGCCCCGUUGAAGAUAUGCUUGGGUCAGUGUAAGCCUGCAGCAGUUGACAGCAUCGAAAGGUGUCUGUGAGUUCCCAGUACAAUGACUUCCCCGUCCGGCUCGAUCGUCUUCGCUGGCGCUCUCUGGCGGGGUGGCUGUGCUGCCAUCACGCGGCGGUUGGUAUCAACAAGCGCGCCGCUGCAGCGCCCGCUUCCCACGCG